rnacentral:lncRNA from 1 species
UUGUUGUGAAGCACCGACGAGACGGCGGCCAAGGAGUGGAUGUCGUACAUGAAGAAGGUGGCGAAUGAUUCGGCGAGGAUUUCACUAUGCCCAAUCCACAUCAGUCGUUCGCUCCGAUCCGCGGAAUGCAGGCGGCCUGGUUCGUGGACGGUGCCAGUUAUAUGGUGCCGUGCGGAUGCUCUGGAAGGUCGACGGAGGAGAUAUUUAUUACGGACUGGAUGCUGAGCCGAGAUUCAUAUGAAACGACCAGCUAUCGAUGGAAUUAUUGGCGAUUGGAUAAAAUUCUGAAACGUAAGGCGGAACAAGGAAUCAAAAUCUUUACUAUUAUUCAAAGAGCUUGAUUUUGCACUUGGAUCAAUAGCUACUACAGCAAGCAGAAGUUGUUGAACAGCACGAAAAUAUCAAGUUCUGGCGUCAUCCGGAUCAUGCGCGAGCAGGUGUAUUCUUCUGGGCGCAUCACGAAAAGCUGUGUUGUAGAUCAGACGUAUGCUUCGUUGGAGGAAUUGAUCUUUGCUACGGUCGCUGGGACGACUAUAAGCAUCGAUGACCGAUCUGGAAGUAUCUCCAGUAGUAAUUGUAGUUCAGUGAACAACACAACGAUCCGCAAACCUUCGACGUCGUAGAACUGGAUGAGGGUGGCACGGUAGCUAAUUUGCUGCGAGCAUCGAAGAGCAAUUGCGGAGAUCACCGCGUUGGACAAGGUGGAUAUUAAACUUCCCACCUUGGAACCUGGCGAUAAGCACUUAUGCGGCAGCCAAAAGCUCGCUUCCAACACACGAAAAAUGAAAGCGAUGAGAUACCGGAAAACAUCAAGAAGGAUACCCAGAGAUGGAGCGGAAGAAUAUAAUGGGCAAAAUCAAGGACAUGGGAAGAGAUCUGAAAAAAUAGGAUAACACUAAACGAGCAUGACGCAGAAUACGGAAUGAAAAGUACUCCGGGUAGCCCGGGAUAUCUUUCCGAUGAUGAAAAGAAGCAAAGCUCUGUGAAAAGGCUACAAAGACAGAUGCGCCAUCACCAGCAGGAGUAAUGAGUCCUGCGCCGUUCAAAAGUAAGGUUUUAUUCGAGCUAGAUGGACAAGCCAAAUUUUGGAUAGGGAAGGAUUACAUCAACUUUAUAGUGAAGGAUUUCAUCAACCUGACAUGCCUUAUGUUGAUCUUGUUGACCGAUCAACGACUGUUCGCAUGCCUUGGCACGACGUAGCAACUGUAGUCUACGGACAGGCAGCUCGGGACGUGGCACGACAUUUCAUAGAGCGCUGGAACGCUGUCAAAAUUAGAAAAGUGUCGGGAAAGUCUACAGUAUCCGUAUCUGCUGCCGAAAAGCUACAAUGACAUUCGGAUAGACAAUGAAUUCUUGAACAUCUCUCUACAGCACGUAACUUGCCAAGUAUUGCGAAGUGCAUCCAGUUGAAUUGUGGUUUUAUUGAACAGGACUAUGUGGAGCAGAGCAUCCACGAGCCUACGUUCAGACGAUUUCCAAGCACAGCACUAUAUCUACAUUGAGAAUCAGUUCUUCAUCAGCAUGGAGAUGGGAAACUCUACGGUGAAGAACCAGAUUGCAGAGUACCUGUUCAAGCGGAUAAUGCGCGCUCACAGGGAGAAGAAGGCAUUCCGUGUGUACGUCGUGAUGCCUCUGUUACCGGCUUUGAAGAGAAGUCGGUGGUGCUAGUGAAUCUCUCUACGAGCUAUAACCCAUUGGAAACUAUGCUUCCAUAUGCCGCGGUAAAAACUCUCUACUCUCGCGACUGUACGUCGCCGGAAUCAAGAAUCCCUCCGAGUACAUUUCGUUCCACAGUCUGCGGACGAUUCCCUGCUGAAUGGAGUCCCAGUGACGGAACUGAUCUAUGUCCAUUCCAAGCUGUUGAUUGCUGAUGACAAGGUCGUCAUCUGUGGCUCGGCAAA